rnacentral:rRNA from 1 species
UAGUUGCUAACGGUUCGGCCGAGCACUCUAAAUAGACUGCCUUCGUAAGGAGGAGGAAGGUGUGGACGACGUCAAGUCAUCAUGGCCCUUAUGCCCAGGGCGACACACGUGCUACAAUGGCAUAUACAAUGAGACGCAAUACCGCGAGGUGGAGCAAAUCUAUAAAAUAUGUCCCAGUUCGGAUUGUUCUCUGCAACUCGAGAGCAUGAAGCCGGAAUCGCUAGUAAUCGUAGAUCAGCCAUGCUACGGUGAAUACGUUCCCGGGUCUUGUACUCACCGCCCGUCACACCAUGGGAGUUGAUUUCACUCGAAGCCGGAAUACUAAACUAGUUACCGUCCACAGUGGAAUCAGCGACUGGGGUGAAGUCGUAACAAGGUAACCGUAGGAGAACCUGCGGUUGGAUCACCUCCUUU